rnacentral:lncRNA from 1 species
GGGUCCUUCCAAUGGGGACACUGAGGUCCUAUGGGGAACAUUGGGAUCCCAUUGGGGAUUUUGGGGUCCCGUUGGGCUUUUUGGGGUCCCAUUGGGCAUUUGGGGUCUCCAAUGGACCCUGAGGUCCUAUGGGGUCGGGGUGGUGUCCCAUGGGGUCAUGGUGACAUCGCUGUCCCCUCGUGGUGGCACUUUGGGGUCAUCGGGUCCUUCCAAUGGGGACAUUGAGGUUCUAUGGGGGACAUUGGGAUCCCAUUGGGGAUUUUGGGGUCCUGUUGGGCUUUUUGGGGUCCCAUUGGACAUUUGGGGUCUCCAAUGGACACUGAGGUCCUAUAGGGUCAGGGUGGCAUCCCAUGGGGUCAUGGUGACAUCACUGUCCCCUCGUGGUGGCACUUUGGGGUCAUUGGGUCCUUCCAAUGGGGACACUGAGGUUCUAUGGGGAACAUUGGGGCCCCAUUGGACAUUUUGGGGUCCCGUUGGGCAUAUUGGGGUCCCAUUGGGCAUUUGGGGUCUCCAAUGGGCACUGAGGUCCCGUGGGGUGGGGGUGGUGGCCCGUGGGGACACGGGUGACCCCGUUGUCCCCUCUUGGGACGCAGGCGGUGUCGGGGAAGUUCACCCCCAUCACGCAGUGGUUGUACUUCGACGCCUUGGAGUGCCUGCCCGAGGAGAACCGCCA